UGGUUCAGUUGGUAGAGCAUGGCACUUGCAACGCCAGGGUCGUGAGAUCGAUUCCCAC
rnacentral:tRNA from 1 species